rnacentral:rRNA from 1 species
UACGAAGGGGGCUAGCGUUGCUCGGAAUCACUGGGCGUAAAGGGUGCGUAGGCGGGUCUUUAAGUCAGGGGUGAAAUCCUGGAGCUCAACUCCAGAACUGCCUUUGAUACUGAAGAUCUUGAGUUCGGGAGAGGUGAGUGGAACUGCGAGUGUAGAGGUGAAAUUCGUAGAUAUUCGCAGGAACACCAGUGGCGAAGGCGGCUCACUGGUCCAUAACUGACGCUGAGGUGCGAAAGCGUGGGGAGCAAACAGG